rnacentral:rRNA from 1 species
UGGSAWAMKGGUWUGKUAGAWUAUUYAUUUAYAGUCUGGCCUGCCCACUGACUUUUWRGGGCCGCGGUAAUUUGACCGUGCGAAGGUAGCAUAGUCAUUAGUUUUUUAAUUGAAGGCUUGUAUGAACGGUCGGACGAAGAAUUAGCUGUCUUUCUGUUAUCUUGAAUUUGACUUUUAAGUGAGAAKGCUUAAAUUCGCUGGAGGGACGAUAAGACCCUAUAAAACUUUAUAUAGCUUCAUCAUAGUGUAACAAUUUUGUUUAAGCCUACUUUAKUUGUAGUUAUAUUUUACUGGGGCGGUAUUUACAUAAUUUGUAACUGUUUUAUUAACUGAAUAAACWUAAUUAGGUUUUGAUCCUUUAUUAAAGAUUAAAAGAUUAAKUUACUUUAGGGAUAACAGCGUAAUUUUYUCUKAGAGUUCUUAYCGACGAGAGUAGUUGCGACCUCGAUGUUGAAUUAAAACUUCGGAUUGGUGCAGUCGCUUUUCUGGUGGGUCUGUUCGACCUUUAAAGUUUUACKUGAUCUGAGUUCAGACCGGGUCAUAGCUGUUU